ensembl:lncRNA
AGAAUAUCCAAAUGCAUUAGGACAAUGGAAAGGAAGAGACAAUGGCGACAGUGAAAUUUUAAUUAAAGCUUUAAUGCUUUAAUUAAUAAAAUCAUAAUAAAUUAAAUGAAUGGUGGUCUGAUCCCUGCUUCACCCCAACUCAACAAUCCUCUUUUUUUUUUAAUGAGUACCAACUUAAACUGAUGGAAUCAACUCUUUAUCUAUCUGUACUUAGUAACUUAGUAAUGAGUAAAUGCCUCAUUUCUACUUUAUCCACUUUAUGUCCACAGAGGAGUCAGUUUUUUUCAGCACCACCCGCACCACCUGCGUCCUCACUGCCUAAUCUGUUUUAUUCAAGGGAAUAGAAAUAUGUUCAUGUUCAGAUGUAAGAUUAAACUGUAAAAAAAUAAGAUAAUAAUCAUAAACUGUCUGUGAAUAUUGAAUUGUUAGAAUUUGGGAACAACAAUAUGCAAAUCAAAACUCACCAACGUAACAAAGUUCAGCCGCAGUCAGUUGCAGUCAUGGUUAUACCAUUUGCCCAAGUUUGAAAUGGCACAAAUAUUUUCGAGUCUGCUGGAUGGUGAACUGGGAGCCCAAUUACUGAAUGAAUGUGCAGUCCCAUCUGACCACUUCCAUGAGUCUCUGUAGAGGCCGAUCCACCCAUGUCCAUUCAUCACUAACCAGUCAUGCUCAGCUUGGUUCCUCACACUGGCCAGGUCAGUGUAGUGCUCCCUGCAGUAACUCUGAGCAUCAUCCCAGUUCUUGCCUUCUUCUACACGUAUUAAGAUCGAUUACAUAUUCUGUGUUUCUCCUGCACCUGAAAUAUUGAUUAAAAGUUUCAUAGUGUUGAACUUAUCAUCCUGGAUGAAUAUGAAUAUCUGAACAUGCUAUUUUUUACUGUAUUCCUCCAUGUUGGUUCAAACUUGCAUUCAUUAUUUUCUUUGGGCACUUGGGGGCAGCACAACCAGCUAUGAUCAAAACACUGACAUGUUAUCGAGUUAAAGUGGAGGAGGCAACUAAACUAAAACUAAAAGUCCCACAGAAAAAGUUAUGUGACUCACAGUUGGAGCACCUGUACAGCUCGAAUCUACAUGCAACUCUUCAGAACUGGAGGAAGGAGAUCGGAGUCAGCUCAGAGUUCAAACAAGGUUUUAAUCUUGUACAAGAGGAACAUUCACAGAGCAACACGCAGGUCUGUUACAAAGUGAAGACUCAAUAUCUUAAGAGAAAAGCUUGGUAUUUAUCUGUAUCUGUGGGUGUGGCCUCACUCAGAUAGUUACUAAUUAAUGCCCUCCUGAACCCAAAGGAAUCAAUCACAGAGAAGGAAGUGAUAACCAUGAGUGGCUAUUCAAUACCUUGACUGAUUAUUCAAUACCUUACAUGUGUCACAAAAACAACACAAAGGGUCACAGGUCACAUUUAAACGGUUACAUUGAACAUUCCUGUGUAAGACUUCAGUUCUCUUCAUUAAGUACACAAUUUCCAUCACAUUGAUAGGUUGAUGUCAUGAUAUUAUAGGUUGAAAUAGGUUAGUUCAAACUUAUGUAUAUGCACGUCACGUUUUUUGCCAUACAUUGAUAAACUGGAUGUGAUCUAAAACGGGUAAAACAGAAUUGGAAAUGUUGCAGCUCAUUCACAGGUGGAAGCAUGAGCUCGCCCUUCAAGUACUAACCACAUAAUUGUUUCAUUCAUCACCUCAGUUUAACAUGAUAUAUUUACUUUUGUUGUAGCAGUAGAAGUAGUUUCCCUGAUUAUACCCGUUAUCUGUCCAUUCCUCUGAAGCCCACAUAAACGCACAAACUUUGUGGUAAUUGUCAUUAUCAGGUUCCAUCGGAGACCACUUCCUGAAGUCAGCCUCUCCUUUACCAUAGUAAGUCGGGUCUUCCAGAGACCACCUCCAUGCCGCACUGUCAGAUUGCAGUCCGAUCCAGACGUUGGGAAUAUUAUCUAAAAGUGUAUUGAGCUGAGCCAAGUGUCGCUCAUUGUGCACAGAGGCCAGGUCGGUGGCUGUUCAACAAAGAUGUAGAGACGAGGAAAACAGGAAGGUAGAAAACACAGUCCUGUGGAAAAGAUAUAGAUAAUUAUUGUGAUGCGUUCAUUGAUAAACUCAUGUUACAAUUUGAGUUUUGAGACAUUUGAACUUCAGAGAUUUGUGGAAAAAAAUGGCUCACAUUGACCUGAUAAGACCAUCAUUAUAACUGCAGUCCUUUUCAUGAUGGACCAAUGGACAGCUUGCUUGCACCUUGAAGUAAUCUGUUUUAGUAAUUAGUUUCAUGUUAUUUACUUUUUUUUUACAGCCAACAACAGAGCUUGGUUUGAAAUUGACAACGAUAACAAAAAGUGCUUCCUGAGGAAAAGAAUAACAAAAUUCUUUAAACGAAUCAUUCGUGCUAGAGGUUCAAGGUAGAGAGCAAAAAGCACUGGACUCAGUGGGCAUCCCUGGCACGAAGAUCUAGUAACAGGGAAUAAUGCAGACAACAAUUGCCCAGGUUUAUGUUAUUUUCUGUGGUUGGGGAAACAUUAAAAUCUUUUUAGUUAAGAUAUGCAAUACCACACUGUAAAAUGUCCACUGAAAAAAAGACAAUGAAAUAUUAUUAGCUUAUUAGCUGUUAGAGUUUUACAUUAUUUUAUAUUUUAGUGUUAGAUGCUCUGUGUUUGAGGUGGAUCCAACUUGUACAAUUUUCUAUCCUGUGGUGUAGUUUCAGUUAUAAGAAUGCAUACUAUUGUAAAAGCUUGUUUUGUAUGUUAAAUCCUGCAUUAGGGACAGAGCCAGCAACCGCUGGAGUUCCCUAUUGUAUUUGCUAGAAUUCUUCUUACCUAUUAUUAUUAUUAUCUUUAGCCCCCUUCGACUGCAUUUUUGCCCCCCUGAACAUAUACGAAAACUCAAUUUAUUUGGCAAAGUUGUCAGGCCUGGUGAAAAUAGGAUAUUCUAUUAAUUGUUUUCGGGUUGGCCACUAGGUGGUGCUACUUCUGCAUAGUUUGUCGCACAUUCAAAAACCUUAUAUCCACGCGUUCGGUGAAUGGAGCUGAAUCUCCUCAUAUAGGCCAAGCCCACUCCCGCCUAUAAUUUUCGCCUACUUUUUCGUGUUCUUCCUACACGCUUUGUUCGAUUCGCACAAAUUUUUUCACAUAGC